GUAUCGAUUCUGCAGACUCCUAAACAUAAACUUUGUUUUGAAUGAUACCUCACAAUUCCAAACAACUCCGUGCCGGUGUCUUCGACUCCAUGCCAUCCAGAAGCCACUUCCAAGUUGACAAACAUCCUCCAUCGGCAAAGGGGCAAGGCUGAGAUGGUGAGCCAGAAUCCUGUACCAUUUCGAGCAGCGUCUGCUGUAGCUCCUCCAAGUCCAGGCUAUAUUGCUUCUCCUGACACGAUUAAGAUGUGCAGUCGUGAAAGAUAUGAAAUCUUUAACACAAUUCAAUCAACAAAGACAUUUGAUGAUGCUGGCACAAUUUAGCUAUGGAUCAUCAUUCAUGUUGUUAACCGAGUAUAAACUGGAAUCAGCUUAAGAAGAAGAGCAAGGCAACAGAAUGAGGAUUACCUCUUUCCUUGUGCCGGCCAUAAGCGACAUCCUUUCCAGCACAAAAUCACGAUCGGCCUACAAAGUUUACGAGGAAGAAAACAAUUAAAAUUAGGUGGAUCAUAAAGAAUAGAGUCAUACAAUCUCCUCCUCGUCCCAUCCGAAAACACUGUUGCCAUCCAAAUUGAAGAACUUUUCAGUUCAUUCAUAAAGAAUAGAGGAAGGAUUAAUAGGGUUUGAGAGGAUUAGGGUCUCUGAUUAAAGAAAUAGUUAAGGAUGAGAUGUUAAGGCAAAGAACUUGUCAUUGAGUUGUCGAUCGAUAAAGACUUUGAUGAGUAUUUAUCCUUUUUAUUUUAAAUUAUUGUGUUAAAUAUAUAUUUAUUGAAUCAUAGUUUAAAUCAUUGUUUUGAAUCAUAAUUUUUUGAGUGUUUACCUUGUUGCAAUAGAAGUGUUUUUCUUGUUA